AUCUAAUUAGUAUAAACAAGUACCGUAAGUUUCCAACUUAAAAGUUCACUAGAAUUAGAUA
rnacentral:tRNA from 1 species